rnacentral:lncRNA from 1 species
GUGCUCAAUGCCUUUGAGAUUUCUGCCUAUCUGCCACGUUUGGUUUAAGCUGGCUGAGUGGCUUAAGGCACCUGGAGCAUGUCAGGAAGGCACGGUAGAGAGCUCCUCCCAUCCUCCUGAGUGCAAAAGCUCAAGGUACACACCAGUGCAGCCUGCACAGUGCUGAUUGUGAGUGUGUGUGCCACAAGAGCUAAGGCAGAGCUUCUCCAUCUCAAAUUGCCCAGGCCAAGUCACUCCUAAGCACCAUUUCUGCACCAUGGCUGGGGUCAUUCUGGCAAGCCUUGCAGUCCUGCCUCUGUCUUUCUCAGAUGAUGGUCUGCUUGGUUUCAUGGAGCUGCAUGUUAUGACCUGCCAACCCCCUGAGUAAUGUGUAGAAUAGCCAAUGUCUGCCGCAGUUUUGCAGGAGUGACUCACUGCUGAAUUUAUUUCCUCCUUUUCCAGUGGAACUGUGUACUAGAAACACAGUCUGUGCACCCAACUGGGGAGCAGGGAAGAAAAGGGCUAUGUGAUCCUAUAUGACUGGAAGAAGAGUGGGUCUGGGUAAUACAGCAGGGAAGAUCAUACUUCGUUGCAGUUCCCAUCCUUCUGACUGCAAUCCAUUUUUUGCCUAAGGCAAGUAUACAUCCUGUGGACUUUGAGGGAAGUUGAGGAUCAAAAAGUUUGAUAUAGCUGACAGAAUGUUAAUGUUUCAGGAGACAGCCACUACAUUCAUCCUCUUGCCACUGCAGAAAUAAAACCCCUCUUCCCUAAGUGAUUUUCAAGUGGGAAGCUGACAGUAGUUAAUGCUUUUGACAGAAAAAGUAGACUCCCUUGUUUAAACAGACUGUCUGCACACGCACAGUCUCCCCCACACAUAGCGUGGAGAAAGAGAAGU